UUCCAAGAGAAUGGAAGGGCGGGGGGAAGGAGAAUGCUCGGCGCCUGCGCACUAGCCCGAAGCCGCGAAUCGGCCGCCGAGAGCGGCGGCGGAGGGCCUGGCGCGUGCCUGGGAAAAGGCGGGAGACGGAAGAGUCUCGAGGCUCACGCAUGCGCACGCAGUCAACUGCCGACGGGGCGCCGGUGGAGCGGGGAGGCUGCCCGGUUGGUGUGUGGAGCGCGUGCCCUGACACUGGGUUCUGGAGCUUACAGAAAGAGCUCUUCAUCCUCAGCGCCGGAAAAAGCGGACCUCAAACCCUCCCUUCCCUCCCGAAGCACAUGCGCAGCCCUGCCCUUGAGAGACAUCGUUACUCUCUUCGCAGGUGUGAGAGACAUGGCCCAGCCCUUCAGGAAGAGACCGGCCUCCGAGCCGCGGCCACCAUUGCCGGCCCCUUGGACUACCUGGCCAUACGGGAGCCCUCAGCUUCUGGAUUGGGGCUGCCUUGCCUCCCCUCAGGCUGCUUCCACAACCAGCCCUUUAUUGCAUGGAUGAGACUUCACGUACCCCCUUGGGCCUGAGCACGUCAGAGGAGGGGGCAGCGCUGGCGGCCCGCGGAGUCUCGCAUACUGGUCCCGGUAACUCUCCCUUUGUCCGGAUUCAACCUUGCUGGAGACUUCGGCAGACCCCGCAGCCCCUCUUCCACGCCACCCUUCCUGAGAACACCACCGAGCCUGCCUGGCAGAGGAGUAGGUGCCGCCCCGCCCGCCUGGGGCGACCUGGAAAGCUCAAGGAUCCCUGAGGCCCGAUUUUACCCCUAGUGGGGAUGGAAGCACCGCGAGGAUGAGGAAACUGCGGCCCCGAGAGAGCAAAUGAAAUGCCCAAGUUCACAAAGGCCUCCCUAUUGGACCCAGGAGCUAGAGCAGCUCUACCUGGAGACUCAACCAGGAAGUCUGGCCACCACCCUCUGAGAUGGAAACAAAUUCAGAUACUGGGUUCUCCUGUCCCAUCCUGCGUGGGAAGUUCCCCUCAUUUCCCAGGACUCCUGGAGUGGUAAGAUAUCUUCAGGGGAUCAUAGCCAGGUAUCCCCACAGACCAGAGACCCUAGGGAUGAGGAGUCACCUCCUGACUUCCUUUAGGGUCAGAGUGGGACCCUGACCUCCCCUGAUGGUAACUCCACCUGGGGUCAAGAUCGAGAGUUUGUUCUAGAUCAAAUCUCUGAAGGAAGAGGGAAGACACAGGCUGCCCACCCAGGAUCCCCGGGGAGAGAAGAAGUGGCUCACAAGGUAGAGACGGAGUGGGGGAUGUCUGUGUCUGGGAAAGAGUGGCUAUCCGAUGCUCACUGUUAGGCCUCUGUCCCCUCCUUCCUGAAUAUAGGAGGGGUAAAGACCCAUCCCUGGGACAGCCUUGGGCACAUGCUGAUUUGCUCCCAUGCUGAUGUCAGUAUUACUACAGGGAACAGACUCUGACCGCCGGUAUUACAUGUGGGUGACAUGCUUCUAUGGUGUGGUUUUCCUUAUCGAUUUCACAUGUGUUUAUGGAACUUCUCUUGCUGGGUGCAGACAGGGGCGCCUGGGUAUCCGACCUGGCUGCCUUCUCAUCCUCCAAGACAUUGUCGCUGGAGCAGUGUCUGUUCAGAGUACAGGCAUGAGGAGAGGACCUCCCCAUUUCUCAUCAGGGGCUUAGCUGCAGGUCACCUGUGCCCUGCCUCCGAGUGCUGCUGUCCUGUCUGGUACCUUGACACACCUUGUCUUCCCAUUGCCUCAGCACAGCCUCCCCGGCGCAGGGAUCGGGGCCUCCAGGGUGCCUCCAGCUGACCGAAUUCCUGUGAUGGUGCAAAUUGAACCACAAAGCAGCCCCCGGGGGCCCCACCAACCAGGGCCCCACCCAGGAGCCCUGCCAAUCAGGCCCCACCCACUCGCAGGGAUAACCCGUGCCCUGUACGCCCACAGAGUCCAGAGCUGGACGGGUGUUUGGUGAAGACAUUGAAAAGAUCGCUCCCUUAAAAUAUGGAGCAUCAGAGGCUCCUGUGGUUCAGAGAUCGGCCCAGGUUGGAGGGUAGGGCGCUGUCAGUGCACGGGUGCUGGGAACCAGACCCACACUGGCCAGUCCCUGACUAAAGUCCAUUUUGUGGGGUGUAGAUUCAUACUUAAGGAAUGAUGCCAAGGUAUAUGAUUCUGAAGAUAAAGAGACACUCCUAUGAUAUAAUGUACUUUUUUGAGAGAGAGAGAGUACACCUGGGACGUGAGGGGAAGGGGGAGAGUCAGAGGGAGAAAGAGAAUCUUAAGCAAGCUCCAUGCCCAUCGUGGAGCCCGCUGGGGGCUCAGUCUCACCCCUGAGACCUCAGUGGAAAUCAAGAGUCCGCCCCUUAACCACGGGAGGCACCCAGGUGCCCCUGAUGUUCUUGUUAUUCCUUCCAAAUGAUAGUAUGACUUUGCUAAGAUGCCUCUCAAAUGGUGAGAACAUCAGAGAACACAGUCUAAUGACAUUGCGGAUAGAUUUGAGCUCAUGUUAUAUUUUUGCAUCCUGAUGUCUAGUGUUCCUUCAGCCGACUUGACAGUAUAACCCAGUGGGUGUCCUUCUGAUUUGUGGUUACACUCUUUGCAAAACCAGUCGUCCAGCUGGUGAGUCACAGGCACCCAUAAAUUAAUCUCCCUUAAAUAUGCCUCUUUCGGAACCUGACCAUGCCCUUUGCCCCGGCUGAUGCUUACUGUCUCUUCUCCAGGCCCUCUUUGCUCUUCCCCCAGCAGGAGCACUCCACUAGAGGGCACUCACACUCCUCCCUGAACCCAGAUCCACCUUUCCCAUAUCCUGAGACAAAUGCAAGUGUUUUCACUGCCAUAACCCCCAACCCUCAAAUAUUCUCUAGAUUUGCUCAAGGUGAAGUUCCAGGGACAGAAAUCAGGGUCCCCAGAAAAGAACCUCACAUUGGAGGAGAUGUGGCAGAAUGGACUGGGGACCUGGAACCAACCCCAGGUCCAAUUCAUUGGAGAGGGGAUGGUGCCGGGACAGUGAGCAACAUAGGCUGGAUGCUCAGGGCCCAGAUGCCCCAGCCCCACGUGUAGGCCCUGGGGAAAAUGACUGUGAGCCUGUGUCCCUAAAGGCCCUGUCACUUAGGACCUGUGCAGGAGGGCCUUGGCGGGACUUCUGUGGAACCUUCCAGACUAGGCCUCCUGGAUAUUCCUUAGCUGGAAGAGCCAGGAGAGAUGUAUCAUUCACCAUGGCACAGAAUCUCUCCGGGCCUGAGGGAGGAGGUGGUGUCCAGGCUUCACUCCCAACUCCACAUCAGGCCCCAAGAUUUUGGUGGAGUUGAGGUCUUGCCUGGCCUGGCUCUGCAGGACACCAUUGCUGGGCUCUGGGGAACUCAGCCUCCCCACCCCGUGACUGCAGUGCAGGAAUGAGACCCCAAAGUCCCUUCAGACUUGGACAGUUAAGGAACACAGGUGAAUCAGAGAGGGAUGUUGAGGAGAGACCUUCAUUUCUGGAGGUAGGAGUGGCUAGGGGAUGGGCACACACGUGGGAGGCAGCCUGUUUGCUGCUGCCACUGAAUCACUGAGAGGGUUUCCUCUGGAGAGUGCAGCCUUUUCCCUGCAAACAUUUGCUCAGCUCCCACCUCGGUGCUGCUAGCUGACGUGCCCCAUUCCUGUUCAACAAGACAGUCCUACAUCAGCUCAUUGUCCCCAUCACACCUGGGCAGCCCAGCUGUCCCGGCCUCUUGGGUCCUCAGAACAAUCAUUGCACCUCAGGCUUUCUGUACUGAUCAUCAAUCAUCUGCCAGGAGUGGGCAGCUGCCCCACAAAGGAGAGGAUACAGGGACAAUUUUAGCCACUCUGCAAGCCUGCAAGUCCAUCUGUGGGAGAGGAACCAGAAAAAUGACAGAACUUCAUGCUCAUUUCAGCUUGGAUAGUGUGUCCCUGGGAAAUCCACUGGGGAAUGCAUGGGUAUUUUCUUUUUUUCUAGUCACAGGCUUUUGAAUUUGGGAUGAUGAAUUUCCUUUGGUUGUCACCGUCAAUCUCAACCUCACCCAUCUGGGGCACAGACUGCAAAUUCCACACCUAGUGCCGGUUUGGUACUGGGGCCAAGACACUGGCAGCCUGGCUCAGGGCACCCUCCGUGCACAGCUGCUGCAGAGAUGUGCUGUUCCUCCCUGAGCAUCAGCACACAGCUCCACGGUGCCCAGCUCCAUGGUACCUGCCCUCCCCCCUGCAGACCCCCACCCCUCAGAGACUUCUGCCCCAGGGACAUUAUGUGGGUCAUUCCCACACUGCUGCUGCCUGUCUGGAGCUGUCCAGGAUCCUGUAGGUUCCCUGAGGUGUAGGUGUGUGUCUGUGCCUGUGUGAUAAGCCCUUGCACGCAUUCAAAAUCUGAAGUUGAGGGAAUUUGAGAUUCAUUCAAUAUAUACUUAUUUUGCAUUCAAGGAUUCAUAGUUAGGACUCCAUAUCAAAUAAGCAAGGGUUCAUGUUGUAUUGAAUCCUUCUUCUUAAUCUUCCUGCCCUCCCAGUGCUGGAGUGAGCCGUCCGCACCCUCCACCCACCUCUUGCAGCUCCUCAGACUUGGCCAUAGGAACAUACACACCAGGAAUCUCCAUUCUCUUUCUCUUUUCUUUUUAAGAUUUUACUUAUUUAUUUGUCAGAAAGAGAGAAGGGACAAGCAAGGGAGUGGCAGGCGGAGGAAGAAGCUGGCUCCCCACUGAGCAGGGAGCCUGG